rnacentral:rRNA from 1 species
UCGAGAGGCUUCGGCAAUGGGGGAAACCCUGACCGAGCGACGCCGCGUGGGUGAUGAAGAUUCUCGGAUCGUAAAACCCUGUCAGGUGGGAUGAAAAACCAUUCGGUUAAUACCCGAGUGGCUUGACAGUACCACCAGAGGAAGCUCCGGCCAACUCCGUGCCAGCAGCCGCGGUAACACGGGGGGAGCAAGCGUUGUUCGGAUUCAUUGGGCGUAAAGAGCUCGUAGGCCGCUCUGUAAGUCGGAAGUGAAAGACCACGGCUCAACCGUGGAAACGCUUUCGAAACUGUGGAGCUUGAGGCCGGGAGAGGAGAUCGGAAUUCCUGGUGUAGCGGUGAAAUGCGUAGAUAUCUGGAGGAACACCGGUGGCGAAGGCGGCAUCCUGGACCGGUAUUGACGCUGAGGCGCGAAAGCCAGGGGAGCAAACGGGAUUAGAUACCCCGGUAGUCCCUGAGCGGGCUGGCAAGGCGCAU